rnacentral:rRNA from 1 species
AUUGAACGCUGGCGGCAUGCUUUACACAUGCAAGUCGAACGGUAACAGGCCUUCGGGUUCUGACGAGUGGCGGACGGGUGCGUAAUGCAUCGGAACGCGCCCAGAUGUGGUUGUUAACGCAGCGUAAGCUGUGCUAAUACCGCCUAUUAUCUGAGACUGACAACGGGUGACCAGGCAGCAAUUUUUGGCCUCGCGCCUUUGAAUCGGCCGAUGUCGGAUUAGGUAGUUGGUGGGGUAAAGGCCGACCAAGCCGACGAUCUGUAGCUGGUCUGAGAGGACGACCAGCCACACUGGGACUGAGACACGGCCCAGACUCCUACGGGAGGCAGCAGUGGGGAAUUUUGGACAAUGGGCGCAAGCCUGAUCCAGCAAUGCCGCGUGCGGGAAGAAGGCCUUCGGGUUGUAAACCGCUUUUGUACGGAACGAAAAGGCUCUGGCUAAUACCUGGGGCUGAUGACGGUACCGAAAGAAUAAGCACCGGCUAACUACGUG